UACGUAGGGUGCGAGCGUUAAUCGGAUUUACUGGGCGUAAAGCGUGCGCAGGCGGUUCGUUAUGUCCGAUGUGAAAGCCCCGAGCUCAACUUGGGAAUGGCAUUGGAAACUGGCGGGCUGGAGUGUGGCAGAGGGGGGUGGAAUUCCACGUGUAGCAGUGAAAUGCGUAGAGAUGUGGAGGAACACCGAUGGCGAAGGCAGCCCCCUGGGCCAACACUGACGCUCAGGCACGAAAGCGUGGGGAGCAAACAGG
rnacentral:rRNA from 1 species